GUGGCUCCUGUGGCAAACAUGUACAGUUUUUGGCAGAAGUUGAACACAACAGCAUUCCAUAAGGAGGGUCAGGAACUCACGCUUGGGACCACCAUUGUCCCCUCCAUCCUCAGUGUGUCCCUCAUCAUCAGUGAACUUAACUGACAUCUCAUGAGAGGGAUCGAAUGAGGCACCUUUGAAGCCGCAGAUUGCUCCAUCGCACACACUGGCUCUAUUAAUAUUGGACCUGCUGCAAGAUGUAUUUGUUAUUUUUGCAGAGAGUUCUGCAACAAUGUGUGCCGCAGUCAGGUAUUCUGUGCUGGGAAAGACAAAGUGAUGUAUUGUAAUAUUAAAUGAUGAAGCUAGUAAUAAGAUUUACAGAAUAGAAUAGAAAAAUUAAGUGGUAAUAGUAACAAUUAAUACCUUUGCUCCAUUGUGUCUUCUGGCUCAGACUGGCUAUCAAUAAUGAUAAGUGCAUACACAGUUGUGUAGUUGCUGCAGUGAGAAGACCGUUGAAUAAUUACUUUCAAAUACCUAAUAUAUGCAUGACAGUCAUAUUUACAAAAGGAUGUCGAUCCUCUUCCUGUUUUUUCAAUACAUUGGGUUCUAAACUGACAACAGCACUUUUGUCAUACUCCUGCACAAUCCUUGUAAACAUUUGAAAUGGAUGCAACAAAAAAUAUCUGAUCUUUGAAAAAUA